rnacentral:rRNA from 1 species
UACGAAGGGGGCUAGCGUUGCUCGGAAUUACUGGGCGUAAAGGGCGCGUAGGCGGCACUGUUAGUCAGGCGUGAAAUUCCUGGGCUCAACCUGGGGACUGCGCUUGAUACGGCAGAGCUUGAGGAUGGAAGAGGGUCGCGGAAUUCCCAGUGUAGAGGUGAAAUUCGUAGAUAUUGGGAAGAACACCGGUGGCGAAGGCGGGCACUGGGCCGAUACUGAC